CGUGAGGGAAAGGUGAAAAGCACCCCGGAAGGGGAGUGAAAUAGAACCUGAAACCGUGUGCUUACAAGUAGUCAGAGCCCGUUAAUGGGUGAUGGCGUGCCUUUUGUAGAAUGAACCGGCGAGUUACGAUUUGAUGCAAGGUUAAGCAGUAAAUGUGGAGCCGUAGCGAAAGCGAGUCUGAAUAGGGCGUUUAGUAUUUGGUCGUAGACCCGAAACCAGGUGAUCUACCCUUGGUCAGGUUGAAGUUCAGGUAACACUGAAUGGAGGACCGAACCGACUUACGUUGAAAAGUGAGCGGAUGAACUGAGGGUAGCGGAGAAAUUCCAAUCGAACCUGGAGAUAGCUGGUUCUCUCCGAAAUAGCUUUAGGGCUAGCCUCAAGUGAUGAUUAUUGGAGGUAGAGCACUGUUUGGACGAGGGGCCCCUCUCGGGUUACCGAAUUCAGACAAACUCCGAAUGCCAAUUAAUUUAACUUGGGAGUCAGAACAUGGGUGAUAAGGUCCGUGUUCGAAAGGGAAACAGCCCAGACCACCAGCUAAGGUCCCAAAAUAUAUGUUAAGUGGAAAAGGAUGUGGCGUUGCCCAGACAACUAGGAUGUUGGCUUAGAAGCAGCCAUCAUUUAAAGAGUGCGUAAUAGCUCACUAGUCGAGUGACACUGCGCCGAAAAUGUACCGGGGCUAAACAUAUUACCGAAGCUGUGGAUUGUCCUUUGGACAAUGGUAGGAGAGCGUUCUAAGGGCGUUGAAGCAUGAUCGUAAGGACAUGUGGAGCGCUUAGAAGUGAGAAUGCCGGUGUGAGUAGCGAAAGACGGGUGAGAAUCCCGUCCACCGAUUGACUAAGGUUUCCAGAGGAAGGCUCGUCCGCUCUGGGUUAGUCGGGUCCUAAGCUGAGGCCGACAGGCGUAGGCGAUGGAUAACAGGUUGAUAUUCCUGUACCACCUAUAAUCGUUUUAAUCGAUGGGGGGACGCAGUAGGAUAGGCGAAGCGUGCGAUUGGAUUGCACGUCUAAGCAGUAAGGCUGAGUAUUAGGCAAAUCCGGUACUCAUUAAGGCUGAGCUGUGAUGGGGAGAAGACAUUGUGUCUUCGAGUCGUUGAUUUCACACUGCCGAGAAAAGCCUCUAGAUAGAAAAUAGGUGCCCGUACCGCAAACCGACACAGGUAGUCAAGAUGAGAAUUCUAAGGUGAGCGAGCGAACUCUCGUUAAGGAACUCGGCAAAAUGACCCCGUAACUUCGGGAGAAGGGGUGCUCUUUAGGGUUAACGCCCAGAAGAGCCGCAGUGAAUAGGCCCAAGCGACUGUUUAUCAAAAACACAGGUCUCUGCUAAACCGUAAGGUGAUGUAUAGGGGCUGACGCCUGCCCGGUGCUGGAAGGUUAAGAGGAGUGGUUAGCUUCUGCGAAGCUACGAAUCGAAGCCCCAGUAAACGGCGGCCGUAACUAUAACGGUCCUAAGGUAGCGAAAUUCCUUGUCGGGUAAGUUCCGACCCGCACGAAAGGCGUAACGAUUUGGGCACUGUCUCAACGAGAGACUCGGUGAAAUCAUAGUACCUGUGAAGAUGCAGGUUACCCGCGACAGGACGGAAAGACCCCGUGGAGCUUUACUGUAGCCUGAUAUUGAAAUUCGGCACAGCUUGUACAGGAUAGGUAGGAGCCUUUGAAACGUGAGCGCUAGCUUACGUGGAGGCGCUGGUGGGAUACUACCCUAGCUGUGUUGGCUUUCUAACCCGCACCACUUAUCGUGGUGGGAGACAGUGUCAGGCGGGCAGUUUGACUGGGGCGGUCGCCUCCUAAAAGGUAACGGAGGCGCUCAAAGGUUCCCUCAGAAUGGUUGGAAAUCAUUCAUAGAGUGUAAAGGCAUAAGGGAGCUUGACUGCGAGACCUACAAGUCGAGCAGGGUCGAAAGACGGACUUAGUGAUCCGGUGGUUCCGCAUGGAAGGGCCAUCGCUCAACGGAUAAAAGCUACCCCGGGGAUAACAGGCUUAUCUCCCCCAAGAGUUCACAUCGACGGGGAGGUUUGGCACCUCGAUGUCGGCUCAUCGCAUCCUGGGGCUGUAGUCGGUCCCAAGGGUUGGGCUGUUCGCCCAUUAAAGCGGUACGCGAGCUGGGUUCAGAACGUCGUGAGACAGUUCGGUCCCUAUCCGUCGUGGGCGUAGGAAAUUUGAGAGGAGCUGUCCUUAGUACGAGAGGACCGGGAUGGACAUACCUCUGGUGUACCAGUUGUCGUGCCAACGGCAUAGCUGGGUAGCUAUGUGUGGACGGGAUAAGUGCUGAAAGCAUCUAAGCAUGAAGCCCCCCUCAAGAUGAGAUUUCCCAACUUCGGUUAUAAGAUCCCUCAAAGAUGAUGAGGUUAAUAGGUUCGAGGUGGAAGCAUGGUGACAUGUGGAGCUGACGAAUACUAA
rnacentral:rRNA from 1 species